GUACUCCAAUAAAAACUUUUAAAUAAAAUUGGAACAAUACAGAGAAGAUCAGCAGGAUGACAUGCAAAUUAAUGAAGUGUUCCAUAUUUUU
ensembl:snRNA U6 U6 spliceosomal RNA